UACGAAGGGGGCUAGCGUUGCUCGGAUUCAUUGGGCGUAAAGGGUGCGUAGGCGGCGCGGUAAGUCGGGUGUGAAAUCUCGGAGCUUAACUCCGAAACUGCAUUCGAUACUGCCGUGCUUGAGGACUGGAGAGGAGACUGGAAUUUACGGUGUAGCGGUGAAAUGCGUAGAUAUCGUAAGGAAGACCAGUGGCGAAGGCGGGUCUCUAGUACGGUACUGACGCUGAGACGCGAAAGCGUGGGGAGCGAACAGG
rnacentral:rRNA from 1 species